UACGUAGGGUGCGAGCGUUGUCCGGAAUUACUGGGCGUAAAGAGCUCGUAGGUGGUUUGUCGCGUUGUCCGUGAAAACUCACAACUCAAUUGUGGGCGUGCGGGCGAUACGGGCAGACUGGAGUACUGCAGGGGAGACUGGAAUUCCUGGUGUAGCGGUGGAAUGCGCAGAUAUCAGGAGGAACACCGGUGGCGAAGGCGGGUCUCUGGGCAGUACUGACGCUGAGGAGCGAAAGCGUGGGGAGCAAACAGG
rnacentral:rRNA from 1 species